UACGUAGGUGGCAAGCGUUGUCCGGAUUUAUUGGGUUUAAAGGGUGCGUAGGCGGUCUUAUAAGUCAGUGCUGAAAUAUCCCGGCUUAACCGGGAGGGUGGCAUUGAUACUGUAGGACUUGAGUAAAGUUGAGGUUGGCGGAAUUGACGGUGUAGCGGUGAAAUGCUUAGAUAUCGUCAAGAACACCUAUAGCGAAGGCAGCUAACUAAACUUUAACUGACGCUGAGGCACGAAAGUGUGGGGAUCAAACAGGG
rnacentral:rRNA from 1 species